UACGAGAGGCCCAAACGUUAUUCGGAUUUACUGGGCUUAAAGAGUUCGUAGGCGGUUCGGUAAGUGAGGUGUGAAAGCCCUCGGCUCAACCGAGGAAUUGCGCUUCAAACUGCCGGGCUCGAGGGAGAUAGAGGUGAGCGGAACUGAUGGUGGAGCGGUGAAAUGCGUUGAUAUCAUCAGGAACACCAGAGGCGAAGGCGGCUCACUGGGUCUCUUCUGACGCUGAGGAGCGAAAGCAUGGGGAGCAAACAGG
rnacentral:rRNA from 1 species